rnacentral:rRNA from 1 species
GGCGAACGGGUGAGUAAUGCAUCGGAACAUGUCCAUGUCGUGGGGGAUAGCCCGGCGAAAGCCGGAUUAAUACCGCAUACGCCCGAGAGGGGAAAGCAGGGGACCGCAAGGCCUUGCGCGAUUGGGUUGGCCGAUGUCCGAUUAGCUUGUUGGUGGGGUAAAGGCUUACCAAGGCGAUGAUCGGUAGCUGGUCUGAGAGGAUGAUCAGCCACACUGGGACUGAGACACGGCCCAGACUCCUACGGGAGGCAGCAGUGGGGAAUUUUGGACAAUGGGGGCAACCCUGAUCCAGCCAUUCCGCGUGAGUGAAGAAGGCCUUCGGGUAGUAAAGCUCUUUUGUCCGGGACGAAACGGUUGUGGUGAAUAUCCACGACUACUGACGGUACCGGAAGAAUAAGCACCGGCUAACUACGUGCCAGCAGCCGCGGUAAUACGUAGGGUGCGAGCGUUAAUCGGAAUUACUGGGCGUAAAGCGUGCGCAGGCGGUUUUGUAAGCCAGAUGUGAAAUCCCCGGGCUUAACCUGGGAAUGGCAUUUGGGACUGCAAGGCUGGAGUGUGGCA